rnacentral:ncRNA from 2 species
UGAUGUGAUUUCGCGAUCGGUUCUAGCGGGGAGCAGCCGUUAGAGGAAACGGGGAAAGUUCGGUGCAAGUCCGGCGCUGUCCCGCAACUGUAAUGAAACCCUUGUGGUUUCUAAAGUCAGAAUGCCCGCCGAUAUCUAACUCACUUU